GGCAGACGGGUGAGUAACAUGUAGGUAUCUGCCCUUUGGCCUGGAAUAACACGAGGAAACUUGUGCUAAUACCGGAUAAGUCUUUACGGAGAAAGCUUUAUGCACCAUUGGAUGAGCCUGCACUUGAUUAGUUUGUUGGUGGGGUAAUGGCCUACCAAGACUGUGAUCAAUAGCUGAUUUGAGAGGAUGAUCAGCCACAUUGGGACUGAGACACGGCCCAAACUCCUACGGGAGGCAGCAGUGGGGAAUCUUGCACAAUGGAGGAAACUCUGAUGCAGCGAUGCCGCGUGAGUGAAGAAGGCCCUUGGGUUGUAAAGCUCUUUCGUCGGGGAAGAAAAUGACUGUACCCGAAUAAGAAGGUCCGGCUA
rnacentral:rRNA from 1 species